rnacentral:rRNA from 1 species
GGCCUACGGGAGGCAGCAGUGGGGAAUAUUGCACAAUGGGGGAAACCCUGAUGCAGCGACGCCGCGUGAGUGAAGAAGUAAUUCGUUAUGUAAAGCUCUAUCAGCAGGGAAGAAAAUGACGGUACCUGAGUAAGAAGCCCCGGCUAACUACGUGCCAGCAGCCGCGGUAAUACGUAGGGGGCAAGCGUUAUCCGGAUUUACUGGGUGUAAAGGGAGCGCAGGCGGUGCGGCAAGUCUGAUGUGAAAGCCCGGGGCUCAACCCCGGGACUGCAUUGGAAACUACCGAACUAGAGUGUCGGAGAGGG